rnacentral:rRNA from 1 species
UACGUAGGGGGCUAGCGUUGUCCGGAUUUAUUGGGCGUAAAGAGCUCGUAGGCGGUUUGUCGCGUCUGCCGUGAAAGUCCGGGGCUCAACUCCGGAUCUGCGGUGGGUACGGGCAGACUAGAGUGAUGUAGGGGAGACUGGAAUUCCUGGUGUAGCGGUGAAAUGCGCAGAUAUCAGGAGGAACACCGAUGGCGAAGGCAGGUCUCUGGGCAUUAACUGACACUGAGGAGCGAAAGCAUGGGGAGCGAACAGG